rnacentral:snoRNA from 1 species
GUCCACGUUACCAUGGGAGCUGUGUUGUCAGUGACAGUCUCCCUUCCUAGGCGUGGUACAGUAUCUUCUUGAUUUGCCAAACCCGUCUUGUGUGCCACGGUCAUACGAUGCAGGAAUGGAAGAAGGAACAUUA